rnacentral:rRNA from 1 species
AUUGAACGCUGGCGGCAGGCCUAACACAUGCAAGUCGAACGAGUGGCGGACGGGUGAGUAAUGUCUGGGAAACUGCCUGAUGGAGGGGGAUAACUACUGGAAACGGUAGCUAAUACCGCAUACCAUCAGAUGUGCCCAGAUGGGAUUAGCUAGUAGGUGGGGUAACGGCUCACCUAGGCGACGAUCCCUAGCUGGUCUGAGAGGAUGACCAGCCACACUGGAACGGAGACACGGUCCAGACUCCUACGGGAGGCAGCAGUGGGGAAUAUUGGACAAUGGGCGCAAGCCUGCUGCAGCCAUGCCGCGUGGGUGAAGAAGGCCUUCGGGUUGUAAAGGACUUUCAGCGGGGAGGCGUUACUUGCAGAAGAAGCACCGGCUAACUCCGUGCCAGCAGCCGCGGUAAUAC